rnacentral:lncRNA from 1 species
GUUGUAUUCCACUGGGUCCUCUUGUUAGGACAUGCAAUUGUGGCAAAAGCCAUAAGAAGCAUGCUAAAACAUUUGGGUUCACAGCAUGCUUCUUAGGCAAUUGUGGCUGUACACAUUAGAAUUUCAGAGACAGAUUUCAUUUUCACAAUGUGGGUGUUUGUGCCCCAUGUAAAAUCAAGUGAUGUAAGACAGAGCCAAAGUUCUUCCCUUGUUACUUUGAAUGCAAUCUUCAGGAAGAACAGAGGCCUUUUCAGGGCCAAUCUACAUUUAUUUGGAUAGUGUAUUGGUCGAUUUUCAGAGUUUAGGUUAUAAUGUUCAUAUUACUGAUAUCUGGCAACUCCCUAGAUCAGCCCCCUACCGUGAUGGAUUGGGAGGAAUUUAUAUCUUAAGGGAAAUAUAACUCAUUACUGAAAAAUCACACCUCUCAUUCUCAGAAAUUGAUGCUACUUAUAGCAACUCUAAUGUAAAGACUGGACAGGCCAGCCACCUUCAUAUUUUGGUGGCUGCUGCUGGACUAUUUUGCUAAUAAAAUCCACCCUAGUGAAUGUACCAAAGUUCCACAAGGGAGGGAAGUACACUACUUUUAGUCUCUGAAUUAAUUAAGUUGUGGUCAAAAAAUAUUUUUAACCAAUUGACUUUCAGACUCAACUACUAAAAAGGACAUGCUCUACCAUUCCUACCAAAGUUUGACUGGAAAACUGCUUGUGAUGUUUGGUGAAAAGCCACUUUUAACACCUUCAUUUUAGAAUGCUUGACUUUAUGUUCUUUGAAGUUUCUUGACUGCUGGUGGAAACAAGAACUGGCCAAAGUGUGUGUGUGUGUGUGUGUGUGCGCGUGUGUGCUUUCUUCUCAUUACAGGAAUCCUUUAUAAUUCUGAUCUAGUUUCAUUUGUAAACUGGAUUGAUAUGCCUCAAGUUUAAUUCUGAAUGCUGAAAGCAUGGGGGACAGAUUUUUGGGAACUACAUUAAUAAACCUGGAGAGUUAUUUGUUUGUUGUUAGUUGUUCCUAAACUGCAAACCAACUUUAAUAUUCUGCCUUUUGAGUCUCAUUUACAACUUUACUGUAGACUAAUGAUCACAGGCUAACCCACAUUAGCUCAGUAGACUUCUGCAAGGUAAGAACCCUUACCUGGUGUGAUUUCUAGUGAGGUAAAAGACAGACAUGACCUAGCCCUUCAUUAUAGGUUUGGCACCACUUUCUUUGUAGAUUUCUGAGUUUUACCCAACACACUGUGAAAGUUCUAUCACUUCUAAUGCACGUCCCCCACCUCAGGAGGCCUGUUUUCUUUUCCAGAAUGCUAAAUAACAGUAUGGCUUUAUUUCCCAUGAUGCUGGAGAUCCAUCCAUAGGUCUAUCCUAAUAUCCCAGUACAAUGAGUAUACCAGUUUACUUGUUUGUUUACCAUUUGGAAAGCUUUGAUUUCAGUUUUUAGUAUUAUGAAUAAAGGUGCUAUAUUUACAUUCAGGUUUGCUGAACAUGUUCCAUUUCAUUUGAUAAAUACCUGUGAAUUAGACAAAUUUGGUCAGAAACUGCCGAACAUUUUACUGAGUGGCUAUAUAAUUUUGCUAUUUUUUCCAGCAAUUUAUGAGCUACAGUUGCUCUGCAUCCUCACCAGAAUUUAUUACCUAGUCUUAGUAGAUAUAUAUCAUUUUGGUUUUUAUUACAUUUUCACAAUAACUUAUAUUCCUAUUGGCCAUUCACUUAUUUUUGUCUUGUUUAAAUUUUUUACCCAUUUAAAAUUAGAUUUGACUGAGGAUAUGAAUGGGAGAGUAUCUGCAUAGCAUGUGUGAGUCAAACAACUGAACUAUACAAAUCCUUUGUAUUUUCUUGAGCCUGUACCUCCAAGGGUUAGUACCACUUUUGGUUAAGAGAAACAAACAUUUGUUUUAAUACAUAAGAAGUGGGAGAUAUCUCAGUAGAUGGUUGGCCUGUUAAUUACUGAUUGGAUGGCUAGAUGCAUGUGAUAGAUGCCUUCAUCUUUAUCUUAUUCUUUCUUUCUCUCAUAAGUCAGGUAUUUUGUGUUAUGCCCCCUUUCCAGACUAAAAUUAUACUAUAGCACUUCCCUAGAUUCCUGUUUCCUUGUACAUACUGAGCUCUUGUUUCUUCAACCCCAUCCUGCCCCAAGAAGGUAUGGAGCUGUCAACAGUGAAGUCCAAAACUGUGUGUGUAUGUAGUUCAGUAGUAGAGAGC